CUUGGAUACAGCCCAGCUUUAAAAAAGAAGAUCUGGUGUUAAUAUGUGCGAUGUUUGUCUUUUGGAUGUUUCACUGCAGAACUCAAGAUGUAGCUUCUUGCUUUGAAAUUCUGUAUUGCUUUCCCUGUACAUAAAUUAUAUGGCAUUGCCGUGAAGCCCAUUUAGAUGUUUAAGUUUUCUUGUGUAUAUCCUUUAUCCCCUACUAGACUGGAAGUACUUGAGGGUGGGGGUCAUGCCAUACUCCUCUAUAUUCUAAAUGCUUUGUACAGUCCCCGACAGAUGGGGGAGCUCAAUAAAUGUUUGUGUUGUUGGUAAGGAGGAUAAUUUCUGGUAUUCAACGGCACCCUAACAGACUGGGAGCUGUGCCUCAAAACAGCAGAGGGAAGUUAUUCUACAGAGAAGCCCUGAGGGACAGAUCACGAGUUUGGACUUCGCCACAUUGAGUUUGAUCCCAAAGGCUAUUUCUGCACAUCAAGCCAUCUGGAGAUAGUGUGGGUGCCAGGCAUCACGCCUGUGCAGUGAUGUAUCUCAUCUCUUGGUAUUUAAAUGCUGUCUUGGCAUGGGACACUGGUGUCCACAGUCAGCCACAGGCAUAGGAAAAAAGUUCUGUCUCCAAGUUGUGGGCUGCAAACUUCAUUUCCUCAGUUGAACCCAAUUGUCUCUUGGGCCCAGCCACUGAUCCAUUUCCACACGUGUAGGAAUUCACAUUCUGGGUCUCUAAGAUUACCAUCACAAGAGCCUUAGGAUAAUGUGAAUGGACGAGAAUUCUAGGGGAUGCCUCAUGUCCAAAUUCAGUCCUCAAGAAACUGAACAACGACGUCUGCUCGGGAAGAUCAUGUCUGCUCUGGAAGAUGAAUCAUUUUAAGUAAAGUAGCCUUCAGCAUCACUCAGUCACAUAAGAUCCAGAUGCCAAAAGGAACAAUAUUGCAGCCACUUAAUGUUUCAUAUCAUAAGAUUGUCAUUGCUCCCUCCCUUGCUCUGGUACAUUUUCUCAGCUCUCUUGUCUGUUGGUAUUUGCGUCAACAGAAUCUGUACUAUUUUGCCCACACUGCUGG
rnacentral:lncRNA from 1 species